rnacentral:tRNA from 1 species
GGUAAAAUGGCUGAGAGUUAAGCGGUGGUUUGUAGCCCCAUGCACAGAGGUUAGAGCCCUCUUUUUAUCA